ensembl:lncRNA
AUGGCUCAAGCCAGAAAAGCAGACAGAAGACUAGGGGAAGCUCUUCCGCCUCCUGGGAUCCGCACACUGCCAGCCAGGCCUGGGACAGUGCUCACCCCUCGCCUCCCAGCCCUGGGAGAAGAGUCUGAAGCCUCACAUCAUCACGCCACCCCCAUGUCCACACCUGCCGCGCACCUGUGCCCUCCCAGGAAUCCCCACACAGGCCCUUCUCCGCGCAGUCUGGCAGCGCUGCCCGCUUCCACUGCCUGCCGCCCCACCGCCCCCACCCGCCCCCCAGCCUGUUUCCCACGAUCCCUCCCUCCCAGUCCAAUCGCACCUCUGCUUCACCUGUCCCAUCAGACCUGCCCUCAGCCUGCCCCAUCCUCUCCUCCCAGGCCAACUCGUGCUGUUUGCUGUUCCAGGAAGCCUCCGGGAGCUGCCCGUAGGCCCCGGGCCGGCUGUCUCGCUGUGAUGCUCUGCUGGUGGCGGACGGACCCUGCCUCCCCAGCUUAUCCCAGGCCAGAGGCUGCAUGCCACUGUCCCCGGCAGCACCAGCCCCUGCUUGGCUGUUAUGGUGCUGGUAAUAAGCCCCGCAGCCCAGGUCCAGGGCCUCCGGCGCGCAGGUCCCAUAACCGGCCCCCGGCCCGUGCCCCUCCCACUCAGGCCCCUCCUCCUGCAAACCCCGCUCCCGAAGCGGUGCUGCCGUCUGCGGCCACGCGGGGGCACGCGGGAGCUCUGCGGGCGCGGGGAUCUGCAGACCCGGCCUCGGUCACCUGGGAAGGGCCCGCCCCGGCACAAAGCACCCGUGGGAAUAAAGGCCAAGCCGCGACAGUCAGCACAGGGGAGCCUCUUCCCUAAAGCCUGCUGGUUUCCCGACGGUCCCACCAUUGGCCCCAGCGCGGGAUAAAUCUCUAACUCCUUGCCAGGCUUCACAAGCCCCAGGGACCCCUCCAUUCUCGUUAGGGGUGGGCCCUGGUUGGACGGCUGCCCAGUCCUGGAAAAGGGGUGAGUUUCCUAAAAGGAAGGGGGGAAGGCAUGAGGAGGCUUUUUUGAACGACAAGGGAAGCAGCAUCUGUAAGCCACAGUGCUCAGCAAGAAAUCACGUUAAACAAGGCGGAAACACCGCAAAGAAAGUCGCGCGGAUUGGCUCUGACACGGGACGGGGGUGGCCGUGGCCAGGAGCCGAGAGACCCUUCGGUUAAGAGCACAGGCUUUGGAGUCAGAUCAACUCAUGUUCCAGCCCUGGCCCCCCACCAAAUGCUGUGGCAUUGGCAAAGCAGUUGACCCUCCCCAGCCUCAGUUUCCUCAUCUGAAAAAGGGAGAUAAUGAGGAUCAUGCCCACCUCCCUGGGGUACCUGAGAGUGAGGUGGGCACAUUGCGGGGAGGUUGGCACAGAGGCUGGCCCCAAGCAGGUGCUCAAGAAUGGCAGCCCCUGGGAGGAUUAAAGUCCUGCCCUGGGAGGUGCUGGGUUUGUCAGUGCCACUCCGCAGAGUAAACCAGCUGGGACACUGGGAGACACAGGCUUUGAAGUCUGAGUUUGUCAGAUCUGCCUAUUUCCCUGCCUCCAAAGCCCGUGGCCCCCAGCCCCCACCCCCACCCGGGGUCUCCUGCCUCUGCCUGUGGCUUCAGCUCCAUGGAAUCUCCAGGGCCCAUCCCAGCCUGCUCUCCGCAGCAGCCUGACCGGAAGCCCUGCCUCAGCCUGAAGAGCCUGGACUUUGGUCUGGCCUGUGGGCCCCCUGGCCCACAAUCCAAUUGCUCUUCCUGGAAGGACUGCCCCGGUCCCCAUGCCAGUGCCUGCAGCCACACCCCAUGACACCCAGGCCAGCCACCCACCUGCACAAGCUCUGGCUUUGUGGCUGGGCCGGGGUUAGAGGCGGGGGACCCUCCCUGGACAGACCCAAUUCCAGUCUCAGCCGGCCUGAGCCUGCCCCCUGCCCAGCCAGAGGAGACCAGGUAGAGUCCACAUCCACGUCCUCGGAGUGAGGAGCACUCACGGGUGCUGGCAUUGCCACUGCCCGGUCUCCAAGAGAAGCCCUGCCUUCCUCUGAGCCCCCCGACCACCACCACCACGUUUGCUCAGCCCUGUUCGUCAGCGUGGCAGGGGUUAGGCCAACAGGAGCUGUGAGAAUUGCUUCAUCCACAGAAGAAGAAAAGAAACAGAGAGGAGAAAGAGAGGAGAGAGAGGAAAAUAACCAAGUCUGUCUCACAUUCAGUAUUCCAUUACCCCAGAUGUCUGGUGUCACAAAGGCACCGAGAGUCCUGGUGGCUGACCGAGCACUCGCUGAUGGAGCUUCGGGGGUCAGGAGCAGGGGGCUGAGGCCUGGCUGCAUGCACGGGGGGCUGAUUUUCCUAUCCGUGCAGCCCUGGGUGUCAAAUGUCAGGGGUGCCGCCCUGAGCAGCACAGUCCCAGUACAAAUCCAGCUCCCCUCUCCAACACCUGCUCUGUGGUCCUGGGCAAGUUGCUAACGUCUCUGGGCCUGUCCUCCUCUGUAAAUCCAGGACCAGUGGCAGGACCUGUCUCAUAGGGUGGUCUCAGUGAUAACAUGAGUUAAUAUUCACAAACAGCUGCGGAUAGGGCCUGGUACAUGGAAGGCCUGGGUAUUAUUAGGAAGAGACAGGGCGGCAAUUACCUUGUAUCAAAUCGUGAGAAUGUCAUUCACUCUUUUAGACCCACCUCCAAGCCUUCUUGCUUCUCUAGCAGAACGUUUCUGGUCCAUGAACCCCACCCCUAACAGGUGUCUUCUGUGACAUGAAGAGAGGCACCAGGCUCAGAGCUCUGGCAGCCAAGCAACAGCAUAGGAUGGACGGUUGCCACAGCUUGAUUUGCCUUGUAUUUGUUUCUAUAAUCACCUUCAAUUUUUGGUUAGUGCUACUUAUUUUUCAUUGACAUCUGUUUUUUCUUUUUCCUUUUUAAAAUUAACUUAAGCGAUUUUUUUUUUUUUUUUUUUUUUUUUUUUUUUUUUUUUUUUGAGACAGUUUCGCUCUUGUUACCCAGGCUGGAGUGCAAAAGCACAAUCUCGGCUUGCUGCAACCUCCGCCUCCGGGUUCAAGCAAUUCUCCUGCCUCAGCCUCCCGAGUAGUGUCGUGUGCCACUACGCCAGGCGAAUGUUUGUAUUUUUAAUAGAGACGGGGUUUCACCAUGUUGUCCAGGCUUGUCUCAAACUCCUGACCUCAGCUGAUCCGCCCCGCCCACCCUGGCCUCCCAAAGUGUUGGGAUUACAGGCAUGAGCCACCACGCCCAGCCUAACUUAAGGGAUCUCUUGAUGUUCCUUAAAAAAGUCUUUUUUUCUUUUUUUUUUUUUUUUUUUUUUUGAGACAGAGUCUCACUCUGUCACUCAGACUGAAGUGCAGUGGCGCAAUCUCAGCUCACUGCAAUCUCCACUUUCCAGGCUUAGGUGAUCCUCCUGCCUUAGCCUCCCAAGUAGCUAGGACUACAGGUGCCUGCCACCUGUAAUUAUCAGCAUACCCAGCUAAUAUUUGUAUUUUUAGUAGAGAUUGGGUUUCACACUGGUCACCAAAUCCUGACCUCAAGUGAUCCACCCACUUUGGCCUCCCA